GAUGAAUGCUGGCGGCGUGGAUAAGGCAUGCAAGUCAAGGGACCGGCAGACGAGGUAGUAAUACGCAGGACGCACCGAAAGUCUGGCAUAGCUCGUCGAAAGACGGGGUAAUUCCAGAUGUGAGCGGCCUGCGGAGCAUCAGCUAGUUGGUAAGGUAACGGCUUACCAAGGCUAUGACGCUUAGGGGACCUGAGAGGGUGACCCCCACCGAUGGGACUGAGACACGGCCCAUACACCUACGGGUGGCUGCAGUCGAGAAUCUUCCGCAAUGGGCGAAAGCCUGACGGAGCGACGCCGCGUGAUGGACGAAGUCCUUCGGGACGUAAACAUCUUUUAUGCGUGAUGAUGUAGCGCAUGAAUAAGGGGCUCCUAACUCUGUGCCAGCAGGAGCGGUAAUACAGAGGCCCCAAGCAUUAUCCGGAAUCACUGGGCGUAAAGGGUGUGUAGGCGGCUAUGUUAGUCUUUCGUGAAGACUUUGGCUUAACCCAGAGGGCGCGGGAGAAACGGCAUAGCUAGAGGAUGCGAGAGGUAAAGGGAACUCAAGGUGUAGGGGUGAAAUCCGUUGAUAUCUUGGGGAACACCAAAUGCGAAGGCACUUUACUGGCGCACUCCUGACGCUGAAACACGAAAGCGUGGGUAGCGAACGGGAUUAGAUACCCCGGUAGUCCACGCCCUAAACGAUCCUAACUGGCUUUACGAGGCGAAGCUAACGCGUUAAGUUU
rnacentral:rRNA from 1 species